rnacentral:misc_RNA from 1 species
ACUAUGCAAAAUGCAUGUAUCAGAAAGCCAAUUAUGUCAAGCCAAUCAAAGUAAUUGCUAAUAUGACAUCUUCUUUUUGUUUCAUAACAUGUGCUCUAAUAACUUCUGCACAUGUAGUCAAACUUAAUCCAUUAUAUCCAUGUAAAGAAAUUGAAGGCAGAGUUACAUAACAAAAACAAUUACAUGGACAAAAGAAUGACUUACCCUCUUAGCAUUUGUUCUCCAGCUUCCAAUUUAUUAUAAUUUCAGGGAUGUAACCAACUAUAAGCCUGUGAUUCCUCUCACUUGGAUGAGCUAAUGUAUGUGGAAAGUGAAAGUCCAAUUCAAAAUUAUUCAGAACUCAUAUCCAUUAUCAUGUCACUUGUCAAGAACA